GGACAAGUGCACCCUGGAAUGUGUGUGUGUGUGGAGCAGAGAACCUGGGAGUGUGCGAGUGGGAAGAAGAGGAGUCGGGGAAGAAUGGGAGAAACAGAACUGACUGACACUUAACUCAUUAAGCAGGUUAUGGACACAUAGAGGAGCCGGCAAAUGAACAGGCAAGGAGAGCAACAGAGAGGGUAAAGCCCACUCUAAUCAUGUAAUCACAUCUCAGGGGAAAAGAUGAGGCCCAAACGUGUUCACACACAGCGAGAUGGAGCAAAGACAGGAUACAGGUCCUGGCACCUGCUGCUGUGUGUUUGUGGAUGAUGGGUGGAGGAACUCAGGGAGUAAGAAUAAAAUCAGAUCAUAGAACCAGACAGAAUAAAAUUCAUGUGUGACCACUCUGCUGGUCACCUUCCUGAUAACAGACUUCCUGUAGGGAAAGGGAGUGGGAACCAGGAUCAGGGGAAUGAAAGAGAAUGUCAAGGCUUUAGAACAAAACUCUGCAAGCCCCCAGAAAAGAGAGAGAGCUGCGGGGGAAGGGCAGCCAGCCCAAGCACGCACACACACACACAUAUAUACAGCAGCAAUGACGCACAGCCUCAGAGCAAAAUUCAAUAAUUCUCCUCUGGAGAGAGGGAAAGAGCAGAGAUGAGCAAGACACAGUCAGAUACAGAAAGAGAAGAGGGAUUAGACGUCAAUAAGAAAGUUGAAAAGAAGCGGGGGCAGCAAGAUUCACAGGCAGACAGAUGGGGGGCAGGCAGAGACAGAGGUGCAGGCUCACGUGUGCCCACACGCACCUCACCAGACACCCCACCCCACAUAGGGCACGGGGAGAGGCUCCGGGUGAUAUGCCAGAUGGAUGGUGGAUUGAUGGGUGAAUGCGUGGGGGAGUGUGUAUGGACGGAUGGCUAGAUGGAUGGAUGAAGCACCCCAGACACUGGAAACAAAACUUAAUAGAGAUCCCAGACAGAGAAAGUUCUAGAAGUCUUGUGCUGGCUCCUCCACCCGCCUCCAACUUCUCCUCAGCUCCAGGAGGCUGCCUGACCACCAUCAGUGGGCUCCCUUCCCUCUGGCCUCCAGUUGGGUUUGGCCCAUGAGAUGCCCUGACAGGAGACAGGCGGGGGAGGAGAAAGCUUCCCGGGAUCACCUCCACUGGCUGGUCCCCUGACAGAAGGCCACCGCUCCUCUCAAAGCGGCCCCUCUCUGAGACUGUUGCCUCCAGGUUCUGGUCAUUCUAUCCGCCCCUCAUCCCCUGAGUAGCAGAGGUGGUCACAACCUAACCUCUGUCAUUCCCAGGUUUCUGGGUUUUUCUAUUACCACACUUGGCAACUUAGUGCCCUUGUAAGUAAACUCUCCUCUAAUGUUCCUAAAGUCGAAUGUUCUAUCUCUUUCCUGUUGAGACCCUAACACAAACCCACAGAGAGAAGAACAGACAACACACAUGUGUGCAUGCAUGAACACAAAUGCACACACACACGUGCGGGGAAACAGAAUGCACACAGAAAGGGGAAGCAGGGAUACAGCUGGCCCUGGCAACCUUGUUUUAAUAACAAAAAAGUAGAAAUUAUCUCAAUGUCCAUUACCUAAAGAAAGGCUACAUAGUCCAUGAUGUUUCUCUUCUCUGAAAUAUCAUGCAGCCAGUAAAAAGGCUGACAUACAGCCUUGUGUGUUAAGAUAGAAAGAGAUUCCCCCCAAAUUGCUCAGUCAAAAAUCCCGCUGAACAAUAUACACAGCUCAGUAUAAUUUCUACGGGGAAAAGCACCCUAAACCCAAAACCAUCAAAACCACUUUCUAUUUCUAUAGGGAAAAUCGUGUAUGUACAUAUAUGUGUAUAUAUAUGCAUGUGUGUGAAUCUAGGAAUGCGUGUGUGUGUAUAUCUGUAUGUAUGCAUGUGUAUCUGCUAAAGUAAUAA
rnacentral:lncRNA from 1 species